rnacentral:rRNA from 1 species
UACGAAGGGGGCUAGCGUUGCUCGGAAUUACUGGGCGUAAAGCGCACGUAGGCGGCUUCUUAAGUCGGGGGUGAAAUCCUGGAGCUCAACUCCAGAACUGCCUUCGAUACUGGGAAGCUCGAGUUCGGGAGAGGUGAGUGGAACUGCGAGUGUAGAGGUGAAAUUCGUAGAUAUUCGCAAGAACACCAGUGGCGAAGGCGGCUCACUGGCCCGAUACUGACGCUGAGGCACGAAAGCGUGGGGAGCAAACAGG